rnacentral:rRNA from 1 species
CGCUGGCGGCGUGUUCAACACAUGCAAGAAAAACGAACCUUCGGGUUAGUGGCGGACGGGUGAGUAACGCGUUUCACUCUGCCCUCAGGAGGGGGAUAACGGUUGGAAACGACCGCUAAUACCCCAUAUGCCGAGAGGUGAAAAGAAAUUCGCCUGAGGAUGAGCUCGCGUCUGAUUAGCUAGUUGGUGUGGUAAUGGCGCACCAAGGCUUCGAUCAGUAGCUGGUCUGAGAGGAUGAUCAGCCACACUGGGACUGAGACACGGCCCAGACUCCUACGGGAGGCAGCAGUGGG